rnacentral:lncRNA from 1 species
AUGCACCUGAGGAAGAGUCUGAAGAAGGAAGAACGCUCAGAAGACAGAAUUACGGUUAUGAGUCGUCGCCUCUUAGCAGAGUACUCGGCAGUGCCAGUCUAUGAAAUGCCAGCGGAAGGCUACAUGAUCUUGCUUCCAGCAGCUACACUGAAUCAAAGUUGUAAAAUUUCACUCCUAGAUGAAAACAUAUACAUACUGUUGGCACCUUGAGGAUUACGUAAAUGUAAAAAUUUAGUUAUGCUUAAUUCUGCCUUUUGUUUUUGGAGAAAAAAAAAAGCUAUGUUUGCUGAACUGAGAUUGCAGGUGUCUAGGCUCUAAUUUUAAUUAAUGUGUGAGCUUGGGAAACAUUUCAGCUCUGUGCGUCACCUUGCUAAUUGGGAUAGUGAUAACAAUUCACUUCUAUUAGAGUUUUUAGGACUAUCAAUAAAAUGCACUGUAGAAGAAAAUAGCGGGUUUUU